ACGAGUUAGGGUCCUCCUAGGCCCGACCUACCCAACCCUUUUGCUUACCGAACCUCUGUUGCUUCGGCGGGCCCGUCUCACGACCGCCGGAGGACCGCCGCAGGGCGUGUCCUCUAGCCCGUGUCCGCCGAUAAGCCAACUACAAAACUCUGUAUAAAUCAUGUCUCAUGUCUAAGUCGAAUUGAAUUAAAAGCA
rnacentral:misc_RNA from 1 species